ensembl:lncRNA
AAAGAUAAGUCAGCCUGCGCUUCUCAUGGCUCAGGCAGCUCCCUGGACAACCAAAUUUCUAAGCAUCUUUUUCUCAACAGUGGUGAUCCUGUUCAAUGUAUUUAGCAAGUAUUCUUCAGUCUGAAAGCAGAGCUCCAGAGGAAUCAGGGCCAUUUGUUCCGAACCACGUGAACAUAAGUGAGAAGACAUGGAGGGCAGGAGCCGACUAGUACUUUGAAGGAAGUUUACAGAUCAAUAAAUACAGGUAUAUCUGUUACAGCUGUAUCCGGAAGCUGCACAGAAAAAGAGAGCACAGGAGCAGAGUUAUGGCAAGAGGCACAUCACCGGGUCUCUGAUGAGAUCAGCCAUGGAUACUGUGGAGUGAGAAGGAAGUCCCUUAUCACAGCACACAUGGGUUUGCUGGGUUUGGGUCAGCAUACUUAGAAGAUAGAAUUGCACUGGCAGCUCCCCAGUCUCUCUCAGGUGGACAAAUGAAGACAAAAAGGCAGAAACAACAAGCCUGUGGCCUCACAUCAAGCCUGCCAGAAACAGAAUGGAAAUGCAGGAGUCUGGCAUAACUUCCAGAGGUCUGAUUGCCCUGCGGGGGAUGUGCUCAGCCUCUACCUGGAGAUAGAGUACCAGAAUAUCCCCAGUUGGAAAGGGAUAUCCAACCUGCCCCUCUCCUGACACAGCUCCAUGCCGUUCCCUCGGGCCCUGUCGCUGUCACACAGAGCAGAGCUCAGCGCUGCUCCUCCACUCCCUGUGAGGAGCUGCAGCCGCCAUGAGGCCUCCCCACAGCUCCUCUGCUCCUGGCUGAGCCAACCAGGGGACCUCAGCUGCUGUUCAUACGUCUCCCCUCUAGACUUUGGGGUUGUUUUGCUUUGCAAUCAUCCCCUCCAUCAAUGCCUGUUAAAUUGUUUGUCUUUAUGCACUCAUUUCCAUCCCCCACUUCUUAACUCCUAUAAAACAGGCCCGCUGGCCUUUGUUUGCAGUGCUGGAAAAGGUGUAAUAACAAUAUUUCCAAUAUUCAAUAUUUUUGUUCAAACCAUCUUGAGAAAACAUUUUUUAAUGAAACACAUUUACUACUCC